rfam:Parcubacteria bacterium GW2011_GWB1_43_6 TV98_C0033, whole genome shotgun sequence.
GAACACUUUUCGUCUACGAAUAGAGAAAGAUAGACCAACCAAUCACGGCGGUUUCUUGUAGAAAUACAAGAGUACAAAGCUGAUUAAUAUCGGUGAAAUCCUAACAAGGGCAACACCGAGGGAAUUCUAAAUUAUUUAGAAGCCCGUAGAGACUAAACAUCAGGUGUCUUAACUUAAAAGAGAAAGACAAAGUUAUAGUCCAUUCCUUACAGUAAUGUGAGA